rnacentral:rRNA from 1 species
AUAUUCUGUAGCAAGGUUAACCGAAUAGGGGAGCCGAAGGGAAACCGAGUCUUAACCGGGCGUUAAGUUGCAGGGUAUAGACCCGAAACCCGGUGAUCUAGCCAUGGGCAGGUUGAAGGUUGGGUAACACUAACUGGAGGACCGAACCGACUAAUGUUGAAAAAUUAGCGGAUGACUUGUGGCUGGGGGUGAAAGGCCAAUCAAACCGGGAGAUAGCUGGUUCUCCCCGAAAGCUAUUUAGGUAGCGCCUCGUGAAUUCAUCUCCGGGGGUAGAGCACUGUUUCGGCAAGGGGGUCAUCCCGACUUACCAACCCGAUGCAAACUGCGAAUACCGGAGAAUGUUAUCACGGGAGACACACGGCGGGUGCUAACGUCCGUCGUGAAGAGGGAAACAACCCAGACCGCCAGCUAAGGUCCCAAAGUCAUGGUUAAGUGGGAAACGAUGUGGGAAGGCCCAGACAGCCAGGAUGUUGGCUUAGAAGCAGCCAUCAUUUAAAGAAAGCGUAAUAGCUCACUGGUCGAGUCGGCCUGCGCGGAAGAUGUAACGGGGCUAAACCAUGCACCGAAGCUGCGGCAGCGACACUGUGUGUUGUUGGGUAGGGGAGCGUUCUGUAAGCCUGUGAAGGUGUACUGUAAGGUAUGCUGGAGGUAUCAGAAGUGCGAAUGCUGACAUAAGUAACGAUAAAGCGGGUGAAAAGCCCGCUCGCCGGAAGACCAAGGGUUCCUGUCCAACGUUAAUCGGGGCAGGGUGAGUCGACCCCUAAGGCGAGGCCGAAAGGCGUAGUCGAUGGGAAACAGGUUAAUAUUCCUGUACUUGGUGUUACUGCGAAGGGGGGACGGAGAAGGCUAUGUUGGCCGGGCGACGGUUGUCCCGGUUUAAGCGUGUAGGCUGGUUUUCCAGGCAAAUCCGGAAAAUCAAGGCUGAGGCGUGAUGACGAGGCACUACGGUGCUGAAGCAACAAAUGCCCUGCUUCCAGGAAAAGCCUCUAAGCAUCAGGUAACAUCAAAUCGUACCCCAAACCGACACAGGUGGUCAGGUAGAGAAUACCAAGGCGCUUGAGAGAACUCGGGUGAAGGAACUAGGCAAAAUGGUGCCGUAACUUCGGGAGAAGGCACGCUGAUAUGUAGGUGAAGUCCCUCGCGGAUGGAGCUGAAAUCAGUCGAAGAUACCAGCUGGCUGCAACUGUUUAUUAAAAACACAGCACUGUGCAAACACGAAAGUGGACGUAUACGGUGUGACGCCUGCCCGGUGCCGGAAGGUUAAUUGAUGGGGUCAGCGCAAGCGAAGCUCUUGAUCGAAGCCCCGGUAAACGGCGGCCGUAACUAUAACGGUCCUAAGGUAGCGAAAUUCCUUGUCGGGUAAGUUCCGACCUGCACGAAUGGCGUAAUGAUGGCCAGGCUGUCUCCACCCGAGACUCAGUGAAAUUGAACUCGCUGUGAAGAUGCAGUGUACCCGCGGCAAGACGGAAAGACCCCGUGAACCUUUACUAUAGCUUGACACUGAACAUUGAGCCUUGAUGUGUAGGAUAGGUGGGAGGCUUUGAAGUGUGGACGCCAGUCUGCAUGGAGCCGACCUUGAAAUACCACCCUUUAAUGUUUGAUGUUCUAACGUGGACCCGUGAUCCGGGUUGCGGACAGUGUCUGGUGGGUAGUUUGACUGGGGCGGUCUCCUCCUAAAGAGUAACGGAGGAGCACGAAGGUUGGCUAAUCCUGGUCGGACAUCAGGAGGUUAGUGCAAUGGCAUAAGCCAGCUUGACUGCGAGCGUGACGGCGCGAGCAGGUGCGAAAGCAGGUCAUAGUGAUCCGGUGGUUCUGAAUGGAAGGGCCAUCGCUCAACGGAUAAAAGGUACUCCGGGGAUAACAGGCUGAUACCGCCCAAGAGUUCAUAUCGACGGCGGUGUUUGGCACCUCGAUGUCGGCUCAUCACAUCCUGGGGCUGAAGUAGGUCCCAAGGGUAUGGCUGUUCGCCAUUUAAAGUGGUACGCGAGCUGGGUUUAGAACGUCGUGAGACAGUUCGGUCCCUAUCUGCCGUGGGCGCUGGAGAACUGAGGGGGGCUGCUCCUAGUACGAGAGGACCGGAGUGGACGCAUCACUGGUGUUCGGGUUGUCAUGCCAAUGGCACUGCCCGGUAGCUAAAUGCGGAAGAGAUAAGUGCUGAAAGCAUCUAAGCACGAAACUUGCCCCGAGAUGAGUUCUCCCUGACCCUUUAAGGGUCCUGAAGGAACGUUGAAGACGACGACGUUGAUAGGCCGGGUGUGUAAGCGCAGCGAUGCGUUGAGCUAACCGGUACUAAUGAACCGUGAGGCUUAACCUUACAACGCCGAAGGUGUUU